UACGAAGGGGGCUAGCGUUGCUCGGAAUCACUGGGCGUAAAGGGUGCGUAGGCGGGUCUUUAAGUCAGAGGUGAAAUCCUGGAGCUCAACUCCAGAACUGCCUUUGAUACUGAGGAUCUUGAGUACGGGAGAGGUGAGUGGAACUGCGAGUGUAGAGGUGAAAUUCGUAGAUAUUCGCAAGAACACCAGUGGCGAAGGCGGCUCACUGGCCCGUUACUGACGCUGAGGCACGAAAGCGUGGGGGAGCAAACAGG
rnacentral:rRNA from 1 species